rnacentral:rRNA from 1 species
GCUUGUCUCAAAGAUUAAGCCAUGCAUGUCUAAGUGUAAAUAAGUCUAUACUGUGAAACUGCGAAUGGCUCAUUAAAUCAGUUAUCGUUUAUUUGAUGAUCUCUUACUACUUGGAUAACCGUAGUAAUUCUAGAGCUAAUACAUGCGUCAAAUCCCAACUCACGAAGGGAUGUAUUUAUUAGAUGGAAACCAAUGCGGGGCAACCCGGAACCUGGUGAUUCAUAAUAACUUUCGGAGCGAUCUUCGGAUCGCUGCAUCAUUCAAGUUUCUGCCCUAUCAGCUUUGGAUGGUAGGGUAUUGGCCUACCAUGGCUUUAACGGGUAACGGAGAAUUAGGGUUCGAUUCCGGAGAGGGAGCCUGAGAAAUGGCUACCACAUCCAAGGAAGGCAGCAGG